AUGCUUUGUAAGAUGAUGCAAUCUAUGCCCUGUUUAAUAGCAUCCCACAAUUUUUCAUAUAAAAGCAUAAAACAUACUAAAUAAGGCGCUCAGUCGCUUCGUCAUUCAGUGGCCUAGCGACUCCGGUCGCAUAGCCGAUCAAUAUCCUGUUCACUGUUCAUAUAUUAUAUUUAAUUUGUAAAAUUAAAAUAUUGUCCAUAAUUCACGUUUGUAUUUCAUUAAUUCCUAAUCCAUUAUAAACUCGAGAGGUUCAGUUUAAACAACAAGAUUUGCAAGAUUUAAGAUCGAAUACGUAUAAUUAUCAUAAUUCUAUUGGGCUUCUGAUCCUUUACAAAAACGCGGACGGAAUAUUCGGAUUCUGCACGAAAACUGAAGCAAUAUAUUAUCAGAAUAUUCGUGCUGAUAAGUAACCUCGUCAGACAUAGCAAGGACAAACAUUAUCAAAUAUUUAAAUUUAACAACAAUCAACGAUUACUAAGCGAUAAAUCCAAGAAUUUUUUAAACCCGCUGAAAACAUUUACACGAUUAUAACGGAAACAGGAGACUGCCAUCACUCAACCUUGGAUAGGACAGACCCACAUCACACACCAGCACCUCGUGAAGAUUAAAGACCCGCAAUUUGCUUCAAUUACGACUCCUCUAACCAUCCUGACAGAAUGUCGGAGCUACAAAAAGGAAAGAAAAGAUACGGGUUUGCCAGAUCACUUCACUGAUGCACUAAAUCCGGACCCACGCAAUGUCAAAUACAUCAUUGAAUUUAUUCAAAACAUAUAUAAUCAACAUGUAAUUAAUAUAUAUUUGAUGCAAAAACCGUAUAUUAAUAUAUAUAAUAAAGUCAGGCCAAUGGCCAUAUCUGCGGUGGUCUUUGUUUGUUUUAAUAAAAAAAAAAAAAAUUUACAAAUUAAUUAAUGCCACAACAUUAGCAAUUAUGAAUCCGAAAACCAAUAAAUAAGAACUAAUCAACGUCGUUGAGGUCAGUCCAUAUUAUAUGGAUGAACAGUCGGAAUAAAAGAACAGAAAACAAACGACCCAAUCAUAGUACAGUAAAAGUACAGUCAACCACAGCUGUAGAGCUAGGGCCGAAAAAAAAGUAUAUAAACCAUACAGUAAGAGCGCUAAGAGGUUAUAAUAAUAAUAAUCCCACUUCUCGUCAAUUCCAAUCUGCUUACAAGAAGUUGGUUGUCUGUACACAUUAUAUUGAAAAUUUCAAUACAUAAAAUUGUAUUGCUUUUGAUAACAUUGAAAUAUUGCAUUAUCCUAGUUCAGAUCCGGCCAAGAUUAUAAAUAAUUUUACAUUUAAUCAAAAUAUUGAUUUAGGAUAUAA